rnacentral:rRNA from 1 species
UACGUAGGGUGCUAGCGUUGUUCGGAAUUAUUGGGCGUAAAGCGCGUGUAGGCUGUUCAUUAAGUCGGGUGUGAAAGCCCUGGGCUCAACCCAGGAAGUGCAUCCGAAACUGGUGAGCUGGAAGACAGUAGAGGAAGGUGGAAGUCCUAGUGUAGAGGUGAAAUUCGUAGAUAUUAGGAGGAAUACCUGUGGCGAAGGCGGCCUUCUGGGCUGUUCUUGACGCUGAGACGCGAAAGCGUGGGUAGCAAACAGG